UACGGAGGGUGCAAGCGUUGUCCGGAUUUAUUGGGUUUAAAGGGUGCGUAGGCGGUCUUUUAAGUCAUUGGUGAAAUCCUCCAGCUUAACUGGAGAACUGCCAUUGAUACUGGGAGACUUGAGUACAGACGAGGUAGGCGGAAUUGACAGUGUAGCGGUGAAAUGCAUAGAUAUUGUCAAGAACACCGAUUGCGAAGGCAGCUUACUAGACUGUAACUGACGCUGAGGCACGAAAGUGUGGGGAUCAAACAGG
rnacentral:rRNA from 1 species